rnacentral:rRNA from 1 species
AGACCCGAAACCCGGUGAUCUAGCCAUGGGCAGGUUGAAGGUUGGGUAACACUAACUGGAGGACCGAACCGACUAAUGUUGAAAAAUUAGCGGAUGACCUGUGGCUGGGGGUGAAAGGCCAAUCAAACCGGGAGAUAGCUGGUUCUCCCCGAAAGCUAUUUAGGUAGCGCCUCGUGAAUUCAUCUCCGGGGGUAGAGCACUGUUUCGGCUAGGGGGCCAUCCCGGCUUACCAACCCGAUGCAAACUGCGAAUACCGGAGAAUGUUAUCACGGGAGACACACGGCGGGUGCUAACGUCCGUCGUGAAGAGGGAAACAACCCAGACCGCCAGCUAAGGUCCCAAAGUCAUGGUUAAGUGGGAAACGAUGUGGGAAGGCCCAGACAGCCAGGAUGUUGGCUUAGAAGCAGCCAUCAUUUAAAGAAAGCGUAAUAGCUCACUGGUCGAGUCGGCCUGCGCGGAAGAUGUAACGGGGCUAAACCAUGCACCGAAGCUGCGGCAGCGACACUCAGGUGUUGUUGGGUAGGGGAGCGUUCUGUAAGCCUGCGAAGGUGGCCUGUGAGGGUUGCUGGAGGUAUCAGAAGUGCGAAUGCUGACAUAAGUAACGAUAAAGCGGGUGAAAAGCCCGCUCGCCGGAAGACCAAGGGUUCCUGUCCAACGUUAAUCGGGGCAGGGUGAGUCGACCCCUAAGGCGAGGCCGAAAGGCGUAGUCGAUGGGAAACGGGUUAAUAUUCCCGUACUUGGUGUUACUGCGAAGGGGGGACGGAGAAGGCUAUGUUGGCCGGGCGACGGUUGUCCCGGUUUAAGCGUGUAGGUGUGUGUUCCAGGUAAAUCCGGUUCACUUUAACACUGAGGCGUGACGACGAGGCACUACGGUGCUGAAGCAACAAAUGCCCUGCUUCCAGGAAAAGCCUCUAAGCAUCAGGUAACAUCAAAUCGUACCCCAAACCGACACAGGUGGUCAGGUAGAGAAUACCAAGGCGCUUGAGAGAACUCGGGUGAAGGAACUAGGCAAAAUGGUGCCGUAACUUCGGGAGAAGGCACGCUGACAUGUAGGUGAAGUGAUUUACUCAUGGAGCUGAAGUCAGUCGAAGA